rnacentral:lncRNA from 1 species
CAAUCCUUACCUCUAGCUAAGGAUGGUUGGUCAUUUUUAUUUACAUAUUUUAUAUUUGUUUUCAUUUUCUACACUGAAUAGGGUUUACUUCUUAAAUCAGAAGAACAGUCCAUUUUUUUCAAGAAGCAGAAUUGUGGCCUAGCCCACCUGCCUGCCAUUCCUACCCAUGUCUUAGGCAGGUGAGCCAGGCAGACUCUCUCGAAGCGAAUCAGAAACAUCUUGGGAGGUUCAGCUGAAGGAACAAAGGACUCCUCGCAUCCAGGAUCUUCCAAUGCCAGCAUUUGAGCGAUGCCCUAAAGAACCAGCCUUGUCCCACACAGGAGGUACCAUGUGAAGCUGUUAUUGAUUGUUUACAGGUUAGUAUAAAAGGAUUUAUCGGUGUCAUGUAAUAGUUUUGAAUAGGGCUUGGAGUCCGGGCUCAGAACUUAAAUUCUCACUCUGUUGUUCACUAAUGUUUGAUUUGGAGUGAUGACUUAUUCUCCUCAUCUGAAAAGUGGAGAUGUAAUCCUUAUACCUCUCAAGAUUGCUGAGAAAUUAAAUGUGGUAGUCAGGCUGCACCAUAUGAAGUUGGUGGUUUUGUGGGUGUGAAGUGGGUGAUCCCCGGCCAUUUCUGGUUCAAUCCGUGUACAUUGGGAGCUCAGCACGGUGCUGGCAGGUGGUCAGCGCUUGCUCAGCCUCCGCACGGUUCCACCCCCAUUCCACAGAUCAGGCUGUACAGGGCCGAACGUGGGAAAAACAGGGCUGCAGGAAGGCAUGCAGGGCCUGGGAGGGAGUUGUGGGGAGGAAGGAGGGAAGAAGCCUCAGAACGCCAGAGGCUCUCAAAAUGCAGCGUGGCCAAAGCUGAUGCAGCGUCAGCCUCCCUCUUGCCAUUUUAAAGAUACUCCACCCCCAAACAAACACACACACCCCUCACCCUUCUGACCUCAUUAAAUUUACUUCUACAUGGCAUAACUUUCUUCCCCAGUCUGAGCCCUCUGGGAUCCACCUUGUGACCUCAGAGGGCUAACGUCACAAUGGGGACCCUGAACCCUCACUCCAGCUUCUCCCCUGGGCACAGGUUUGCUGGCAGGUGCCAAGGUGGUAGGAUAUGCUUCCUCCCAACCUGGGGAAGGUGCAGAGGCUGUGACUGAAGCAGCCUGGCAUGGUGCUCCCCUUGGUCCUAAUUAACUCAGUUAUCAUAAGUUCCAUUGCAUCCAGGACUGAGAUACCCAAGUCCAAGGAAUGGGGAACCAUUAGAGACACACUGGCGGCGGGGGUGCAGGAAAAGAGAAAGCCACCACUAGUCAACCUGGUGGGACUUCCAAGGAAGGUAAUUCAAGGUUAGGCAUUUUCUUGGGA